CUCUCAUCCUCUCUCUCGCAGGUUCCAGAAUCCAGCCAGCUUAGGUCAUUGGACCACCGCGGCGGCCACCGGUCACCGGCGACGCCGCCGCCAUUCGCAAUGGCCGAAAAAUCGAAAAGGCCCAUUUUUUUGGGAUUUUCGAUUCUAAGAUAAAAAAACGCCAAUUUUCAUCAAAAUCGGCGGACCUCGACCCCACGACGGUGCAAAAGGUACGUUUUUUAUCCCUUUCCCUUUUUUAUUUUUUGUUUCCUUCUAGAAAAAGAAAAAUAAAUAAAUAAAUAAAUAAGAAAUCAGAAAGUAAACAAGAUCUACCUUCGAAAGUAUACUGAUUUUUUAUUGAUUUUCUCCGUCUAAAAAAUUUACAUUUGGUUUUGGUGGCUUUUAUAGCCAAAUACAAUGCCAUUUCUUUUUUUUUUCUCUGUGUUUACGUGUCUGUUUUGCAGGUAUAAGGGUCAGCUGUGUACGGAAGCCAAUGUGGAGGUACGAAGGUGGCCGUACGGAGGCGCGUGUAGGUGCUGUUGGGGGUGGACCUAGGUGCGGCGCACCUAGGGUUUUCUUCUUUUCUUUUUUGUUUUGUUGUUAGCUUUGGGCUAGGGUUUGUAAUGGACCAUCAAGUUUUUAUUUUGGGCUGAUUUUUUGUAAUUGGACUGGACCUUGGUUUUUUUUUUGUUGUUGUUUAUUUUGUUUGGUUUAUUUUGUGUUUUAUAAUUGUG
rnacentral:lncRNA from 1 species